CCUCAAGAGAGGCGGGAGAGUGUAGGGUGGUGAUGGAGGAGAGUGUGGAAGUACAGAAAAAAACAUUAGGACUGUGAUUUUCUCCAGCCUGGGGACGACAUGCUGGAUAGCUUGACUGGCCAGAGACCGCUGUUCUGGAUAUGAUUUAUAUUGCAUAUGGAGCAACGGAGGAUCUGAACAAUUGGAAGGCCUGGCUGCAUUUUCCUGGACACAGCACAGGAGAUUUCCACCCCUAUAAGACGCACAACAUGGAAGUCGAACAUUCGCAUAACCAGAUCUCUAGGGGUCAGCUGCUACAAGUGUUUGCAAAAUAAGAGCAGAGAGAAGCUUUUGGCGGUGCCUUCUCACUCCCAUCCAAAAAAAAAAAAAAGACCCAUUGGAAAACUGCCUGUUCCAGAAUUCACCACAAAGGUCCAAAUUUUCCUUCCUGUCAUCUCACUUUUCAUGGGUCUCUGUUUUGGCAGGCACGCCGAGGUCUGCAUAGUCCUUUUACAGCGGUGGAGCUCCAGAUCUCUUUGAAACCACCUUCAUCACAAGGCAAGAAGAUAGAAAUCCACAUUGCAGCAGCUCUCCGUGGAGACUUUAUGUUAAAAAAACAAAAUGCCAAAAAAAAA